rnacentral:sRNA from 1 species
CAUUAGGGAUAGCAGUGGAAAUCCUUUUAUGCGCCGCGGCGAAUAAAAAGAUUGUAACGUAUAGGAAGAUUCGUC